GCAGGAAGGGAGAACUUUCCACUUGCUUCACUUUUCUUUCUCAACUACAAGCAGGGUGUAGACUCCCCAGCCAGCCAGUUGUAAGAAGCAGCACUUCCCCUCCAGCCGACUGAAAGCUCGGCAACGUCUGGCCGUAAUUUGAAUGCGUUUCCUUUUCAUUGCGAACAAAGGUUGGCGCCCCAGCCUUGCUGCGCGGGUCAGGAAAGUACAUGGCGGGUGUAAGAGAAAACACACACCGAGUGACCCACGAGAAAGGGAAAGGGGAAAACACCCCUCCUCGGGGCGCUGGACUUUUUCGACUUUUCCUUUAAAAAGAAAAAAAAAGUUUUUCAAGCUGUGGGUUCCAAGAAGAGGCAGGAGGAGGGGAAGGGGGGGGGGUGACAGAAAAGCCGCCCGGUCGGUUAUGAGUCACAAGUGGGUUAUAAAAGGGUCGCACGACCGUAGGCGCGGGCUUCCUGUGCUCGGCCAAGCCGGAGCGAACGUCACCAGCCACCGCGGGAUUGUCGCCAGCCCCGGGUCGGGACGGGGCGGCAGGAAGCAAGCGCGAAGGUCGGCUUGAGAGGAAAGAAGCGGCCAGAGCCCGGAGGCAAAGUAAAAGCCUCAAAACGCCAUGUUCUCUUGCUGGGAAGGCUGGCGUCGCUCUGCUUACGGAUGGAGGAACACAGGUGGCGCAAAUCAGGAAGGGGAAAUCUGUGGUUUAAAUUCUUUACGCCUCAUCCUGUGAGUGCUGGAGGCUUGCUGGAGGCUGUAUGCUGUUAAUGCUAAUCGUGAUAGGGGUUCUUACCUCUGACUGACUCCUACAUGUUAGCAUUAACAGGGUAUGAUGCCUGUUACUAGCAUUCACAUGGAACAACUUACUGUCGUGGGAGGAUGACAAAGAAGCAUGAGUCACUCUGCUGGAUAACUUAGACUUCAGGCUUUAUCGUGUUUAAAUUUGUUAAUCUGGUACUGGGAUGUUCCACUUUAAGUGUUAAGAAUAAGGUCAUUUAAAGGAUUUAUCAGCCGUAUCACAAACACAUACAUUUUUACUUUCAUCUUCAAGCCCACACACUGAUAUUUCUCUUUAAAAGAAAAUAUAUUGGCAUUGGUUUAAAUUCAAAUGGUUUGUUCGUUACAGUAUAACUGUUCAUAAGCAUUUUUGAUGGUUCACCUAGAAUACAUGCUAAGUACACUAUAAAACAAAUUUCCAUAAUAUCUUUAUAGUUAAAAGUCAGACUACCAUUCUCCAGUUAUAUUACGUAUUAUCUGUAAACAUUUUUUAAAAGAUUUAGAAAUUGGCAUUUUUCCCCAAGUAACAAUUUUCUAUUCAGACAUCUUCAAUUUAAAGUUAAUACUUUUAUUUGAAUCAUAAGAGGGAAUGACGCUAUGUUUACAAUGAAAUAGUAUUAAUAAUUUGCAUGGCAAAUAACAUCCAAAAGCUAUCCGCCGGCCAUACACAGCACAAAGAUUUAAUUUUUUAUAAUUCAUAUUUCAAAUGAAGUCCCAAAUCUAGGCUCAAGUUCAGUAGCUAAGCCACAUAAUAAUGUAGUGAAGUCCAAGAAUCCACCUUUCCUCUCUAAGCCUGUUUCUUCAUCCAUAAAAUGGGAAUAAAACUCUACAAUGUUGGUGUGAGGCUUACAUGAGCUACAGAACUAUUUUGUAAGAUAAUAAAAUGCUACAUUAAAGUUGUACUAAAAUUAA